UACAGAGGUCCCAAGCGUUGUUCGGAUUCACUGGGCGUAAAGGGUGCGCAGGUGGGUUUGCAAGUUCGAUGUGAAAGCCCCGGGCUUAACCCGGGAAUGGCAUUGGAUACUGCAGAUCUGGAGGAUCGGAGGGGGGACUGGAAUUCUUGGUGUAGCAGUGAAAUGCGUAGAUAUCAAGAGGAACACCAGUGGCGAAGGCGGGUUGCUGGGCUGACACUGACGCUGAGGCGCGAAAGCUAGGGGAGCGAACGGG
rnacentral:rRNA from 1 species